UACGGAGGGGGCUAGCGUUGUUCGGAAUUACUGGGCGUAAAGCGCGCGUAGGCGGACCUGCAAGUCGGGGGGUGAAAGCCCGAGGCUCAACCUCGGAACUGCCUUCGAUACUGCGGGUCUCGAGUCCGGGAGAGGUGAGUGGAAUUCCUAGUGUAGAGGUGAAAAUUCGUAGAUAUUCGCAAGAACACCAGUGGCGAAGGCGGCUUACUGGUCCGGUUCUGACGCUGAGGCGCGAAAGCGUGGGGAGCAAACAGG
rnacentral:rRNA from 1 species